AUUGAACGCUGGCGGCAGGCCUAACACAUGCAAGUCGAGCGGCAGCGGGAAAGUAGCUUGCUACUUUUGCCGGCGAGCGGCGGACGGGUGAGUAAUGCCUGGGAAAUUGCCCAGUCGAGGGGGAUAACAGUUGGAAACGACUGCCAAUACCGCAUACGCCCUACGGGGGAAAGCAGGGGACCUUCGGGCCUUGCGCGAUUGGAUAUGCCCAGGUGGGAUUAGCUAGUUGGUGAGGUAAUGGCUCACCAAGGCGACGAUCCCUAGCUGGUCUGGGCGGAUGAUCAGCCACACUGGAACUGAGACACGGUCCAGACUCCUACGGGAGGCAGCAGUGGGGAAUUUUGGACAAUGGGCGCAAGCCUGAUCCAGCCAUGCCGCGUGUGUGAAGAAGGCCUUCGGGUUGUAAAGCACUUUCAGCGAGGAGGAAAGGUUGAUGCCUAAUACGUAUCAACUGUGACGUUACUCGCAGAAGAAGCACCGGCUAACUCCGUGCCAGCCGCCGCGGUAAGAC
rnacentral:rRNA from 1 species